CAAUAGCGUAUAUUAAAGUUGUUGCGGUUAAAAAGCUCGUAGUUGGAUUUCUGCUGAGAACGACCGGUCCGCCCUUUGGGUGUGUAUCCGGCUCUUUCUUGGCAUCUUCUUGGUGAACGUUGCUGCACUUGACUGUGUGGAGCGCUACCCAGGACUUUUACUUUGAGGAAAUUAGAGUGUUUCAAGCAGGCAUACGCCUUGAAUACAUUAGCAUGGAAUAAUAAGAUAGGACCUCGGUUCUAUUUUGUUGGUUUCUAGAGCUGAGGUAAUGAUUAAUAGGGAUAGUUGGGGGCAUUCGUAUUUAACUGUCAGAGGUGAAAUUCUUGGAUUUGUUAAAGACGGACUACUGCGAAANCANNNGCCAAGGAUGUUUUCAUNGA
rnacentral:rRNA from 1 species